AUGUGACGUUACCAAACUGUUGCCUCGGCGGGAUCUCUGCCCCGGGUGCGUCGCAGCCCCGGACCAAGGCGCCCGCCGGAGGACCAACCAAAACUCUUUUUGUAUACCCCCUCGCGGGUUUUUUUUAUAAUCUGAGCCUUCUCGGCGCCUCUCGUAGGCGUUUCGAAAAUGAAUCAAAACUUUCAACAACGGAUCUCUUGGUUCUGGCAUCGAUGAAGAACGCAGCGAAAUGCGAUAAGUAAUGUGAAUUGCAGAAUUCAGUGAAUCAUCGAAUCUUUGAACGCACAUUGCGCCCGCCAGUAUUCUGGCGGGCAUGCCUGUCCGAGCGUCAUUUCAACCCUCGAACCCCUCCGGGGGGUCGGCGUUGGGGAUCGGCCCUGCCUUUUGGCGGUGGCCGUCUCCGAAAUACAGUGGCGGUCUCGCCGCAGCCUCUCCUGCGCAGUAGUUUGCACACUCGCAUCGGGAGCGCGGCGCGUCCACAGCCGUUAAACACCCAACUUCUGAA
rnacentral:rRNA from 1 species